rnacentral:rRNA from 1 species
AUCCAGACUCCUACGGGAGGCAGCAGUGGGGAAUAUUGCACAAUGGGGGAAACCCUGAUGCAGCAACGCCGCGUGAAGGAAGACGGUUUUCGGAUUGUAAACUUCUCUCAAUAGGGAAGAAAGAAAUGACGGUACCUAAAUAAGAAGCCCCGGCUAACUACGUGCCAGCAGCCGCGGUAAUACGUAGGGGGCAAGCGUUAUCCGGAAUUACUGGGUGUAAAGGGUGCGCAGGCGGCACGGCAAGCCGGCGGUCAAAUCGCGGGGCUCAACCCCGCCCAGCCGUCGGAACUGCCGGGCUAGAGUGGGCGAGAAGUGCGCGGAAUGCGUGGUGUAGCGGUGAAAUGCAUAGAUAUCACGCAGAACUCCGAUUGCGAAGGCAGCGCACCGGCGCCCUACUGACGCUCAGGCACGAAAGCGUGGGUAUCGAACAGGAUUAGAUACCCGCGUA